UUUCCGAGGGAAGAGCAAUUGUUGUUAAGCAACUUUCUGUAACUUCUCAUCAAGGGAAAAGCCAGUUUAUAGCAGAGAUUUCUACCAUAUCUUCUGUUCAGCACCGCAACCUUGUGAAAUUGUAUGGAUGCUGCAUUGAGGGGGCACAUCGUCUCCUGGUUUAUGAGUAUCUCGAACACAGAAGUCUAGAUCAAGCACUCUUUGGAAAGAGUGGCGUACACCUCAGUUAGCCAACCCAAUAUGAAAUUUGCUUGGGUGCGGCAAGAGACCUAGCUUAUCUUCACGAGGAGUCAAGACCAAGAAUUGUACAUAGAGAUGUCAAAGCCAGUAAUAUUAUUUCAGAUUUUCGUUUGGCAAAGUUAUAUGAUGAUAAAAAGACCCAUAUUAGUACUCGCGUGGCAGGAACAAUAGGAUAUCUUGGCCCGGAAUAUGCCAUGCUUGGACAUCUUACGGAGAAGGCUGAUGUAUAUGGAUUUGGGGUUGUUGCGCUGGAGAUUGUCAGUGGACGACCAAAUGCAGACACAACCUUGGACCAAGAUAAAAUGUAUCUUCUGGGAUGGGUAAGUUCUGUAAGACCUUAGGAGAAAGGAAAGCAAGUUAAUAAAGCUAAGAAAUGGAGAUUCAGCAGUGCUGUGUGUGACGGGGUUGGUGUUUAAUUAACUGCCUGAGGGGAUGCCUCAAUCUAUACAACCGGGUGUAUUGCUGCCAUACCAUCUUUGUCAUUUUGGUGAAUAGGCGAGGGAUCGUGUCGAUUUUUGCGUACCGGUUACAACGAUGCAGGGGUUAGGUAAUAUGUGGUUUGUGGUCCAUCCAUGUUUAAUCUGCAUCAUUAGGUUGCUUCAUAUUCGAUUAAUGCAAGGAACUUUCACGAAGGCAUACCAUGCAAAUAUGUGCCCGUCUACGUGGACCAAUUUAGGCGUGGCUCCAAAUCUUAAGCAUUAUGUAAAUGAAAAAAGUGGAUGGAUUUUAAUUAGUGGCAACUAAAACA